GAGAAAUUGGAUGUUCCCAUCCCUUUGCGGGAAUCAUUAAAAUCUCACUAAGAACCAUAAUGAAGCGGGGAGUUAUGGAUUGCUAGCUUGGCUGCUGGUUGAAAACAGGCGCCAUAAAACGCUUUAGAGUCUGUUCCAGGCCGUGCUGUGCAUUAGGACUAAAAAGAGACCUGGGUGGCAUCUUGGGCUUCUUCAGCAGGCGUACAAACUCACCAGCAACGCUGCGGUGGGCAUCACUGUCCUCGUCCUCGGCUGGCAGGUCGCUGUGGCAGCUCUCCGUAGCGCUCAGCCCACCUCCUCGCUCACUGCCCAGGCUGCUCUGGCUCUCCGACAAAAUGCUCCCCAAGGUGUGACUGGUGCUCUUGCUGGGAAUACGGGCGGCUUCGCUGCUGGAGACUAUGGAGAAGGCAAAGGAACAAAACAUCAUGACUCCAUCAGCCAUUUUACAGAUGAAUAACAGGACUUAUAUGGCCAAACAACAUCAGAGUGCAGUCCAGAUGGCCAAAGAGGAAGAAGGCAUCAGCUAGGAGAGGAUGCAGCCCAUCAGCGCUAUUGAACUACAACUUCCAGCAGCUCUAGCCAGCUCUGCCAGUGGUGAGAAAAGAUGGGAACUGGAGUGCAGCAACCUUUGAGUGGUCACACGAUUCCCAGCUGGAUUCACCAAUCCAACAAGAACAUGGCAUUUUUAUUAUACCUGGAGGAGUGAAGAUGGAUAAUAAUCAAGAUGGAGCCCUAAUUCAACCUUCCAAUUUUUCGCUUCGGAAACAAACCAGUCUUGGCAGAAGACAGCGGUGCUGCCCAGCAGACCCAGGGCCUCCCCGCAGAGCAAGCACUGGGACAAUCCGUUGCCCAUCACGUUCUUCCGCAUGUUCUCCAGCCGUUCCACCAGCCGCCUGCAAGACAGAACUUUUGCGUCACACCAGAAGCCGAAAGCAGCGUCUUGUAGCCACAAGGGCAUUAAUUCAACACAAGCAACACACAGCAGCCUUCAUAACCCUCCUGAAUUGGGCACCAUUGCUUGCUUGCCGGAUCAGGCUGGAAGCAUUAUCCUCAUCAUCCUUGCUGGUGCCACUGUUGGUUUGCAGGACAUGUGA